rfam:Oryza meridionalis cultivar OR44 (W2112) chromosome 5, whole genome shotgun sequence.
AAUAAACUCUAGAUUUUCGUGUCCAACGUUUGGCCGUUCGUCUUAUUUAAAAAAAUUAUGAAAAAAAUAAAAAAAGGUCACGUAUAAAGUAUUAAUCAUGUUUUAUCAUCUCAACAAUAAAAAUACUAAUCAUAAAAAAAUUCAUAUAAGACGGACAAUAUAAGACGGACAGUCAAAUGUUGAACACGAAAACUCAGGUUUUUUUUUUUA